GGCUGGCUGAGCGCAGCCGUGUCUCCAGCCUGAGCGCGCCUCCUAAGGGACCCGCAGGGUCGCCCGGAGGGGGAGCGCUGCGGGCCGCGCCGGGUGGCCUCCCUGUCCCCCGGCCUCACCUGAGCGGGGCGCGGGCGACAGUCAUCGCGGGGGGCCUGGUGCGGAGCUGCAGCGGGCACAGGGCGCCGGGCACCGCUGCUCAGAAAGAUUCAUGCCACUCCCUUUCCCACCUGGCUUAGUAGCCCUGGAAGCUGACCUUUAUGCAUCAAUGGUCCCCUUGCUCCUGGGGUUUCUGGCUGGGUUUGGCCAAUGGGAGGCACUGACAGGGAGGAAAGACUGGAAGGCAAGAGGGUAUGGAUCCUCAGCUUCCUUUCUCACUGGCUGCAGGUGAAGGAAUGCCUUGCAUUAAACCGUGAAGUCCCUUAAAUGGUGGUAAAGUACUUAUCAAACUGUCCUACCUAUACCCAGUUGAAAGAAAUCCUUUGUCUACAGACUACUCACUGUUAUACUAAAGGAAAGCAAGCCAUGGAAGAGGAGAACAGGAAAAAAAUGCUAAAUAAAUAAUGUCCAGAUAGUCACAUGGGUCCAGCUCACCCAUGGAAACCAAACCAAGCCAUGCAGCUGGCAGAGUGGCAGCGGCCAAGUCUGAACAUGCCUGUCGGUGCUUCCCCCUGCCUUCUUCUUGCAGCUCUCCCAGAAGUUCACACAGCUGGUGCAGCCAAAGUAGAGGGAGGCCACCGUUGGUGGGGAAACACCAUGCGCUGGAUGGAGAAGUACACAUCUGCCUUAUUUGACACUCACAACAACCCUAGGAGGAGCUGGGCCGCCGGCAGUUACAAGCAGACUCACAGAAUCUCAUUAUGCCCCAAAGUGAGACUUGGCAGCAGCGUCCAGGCAAGCUCUUUAGAAUCACCCAACUUUGGUGCUGUGGGCUAUGAUGGGGAGAAAGUCCUGGAGAUUCUUCACUUUCGCAGCUGCUUCCAGGCUGUCUCCAACACCAGCUGCUUCAGAACUACAGGCUGAGAUCUUUUGCCUAGGUUCCUUCAUCCUCUCUCCACUUGCUCUUCCCUAUUUUUGAGUUCUCUCAUACUUGGAAUGUGUGGAGUAGUUUUUAUUUUCCUGAAAGAACCCAGACUGAUACACAGGCCUGACAAGAUGAGUGCUCAAGGUCACCUUCAGUUCCCAGAGUGGAAACCUGGCUGGAUUUUGAAGUACUAUUUAACAUGCCUAGGGAUAAGUAUAAUUAGAGCUAUAUUCCAGAAGGUACAUGAACAUCACUUUUUCUGUCCAGUUUACCACAAAGCAGCCUGGUGUUAAUAUCAAGUUGCCUUUUCUGAGGCAAUGGAGGAGCUCCUCAGGUAUGUUUUAUAUGGUGAUCUGGUAUGUGUUUUUGUGUACAUGUGUGUACAUAUGUGCUUUGGGGGGAUGGAUGGAUGCUCCUACAUCCAAAUGUCUCCAGAGAGGACCAGGGUCUUUGCGGGAAGAAGAGCAUCCAAUUAUUCUGAGCAGGUGAGUUCACUGUAUUACACAUGCUUCCCCACACUGUUUGGUAGGGACUCCAAUGGCUCUUUCAGGACCAUGAGGUCCACUCAGACCCCCAGCAGUUUCCAAAAGACUGAGAAGUAAGCAGAUGGAUUAAAAAAAUCAAUAACCAUUUGGAAACUGGUAGGGGUUCCAGUUCUUUCUUUUAUUGGGAAAACAGCCUUAUACAUGUCCUCUCAUCACUUUGAGGCUUUAUUUAUUUAUUUGUGAAACAGUGCAACUGAACAGGAUUAAUAGUUUUGGAUUUGUCAGGUAUGUGAAGUUAAUGCAAAGUGGUGGUGAAUUCAAAUGUACACCAAGCAUGGAUUAAACCUCUCUCACCUAUGUGCACUGUUUAUAGACGCUGUGGUGAUAAUAACCAACAACAAAAAUAUCUUUGUAAAUAGAAUGAUACAGAAUAUAUUCAUUCAUGUCUUCUUUAUGUCAGCAUGCUUUUAAGAUUCACCCACUGUUGCAUUUAUUGAUAGUUUGUUCCCUUUUAUUGUGGUAUAGUACUCCACUGAAUGAAUAUACCACAUUUGCUUAUCCAUUCACCCGUUUACAGACAUUUGGGUUGUUUCCAGUUUGGC